rnacentral:rRNA from 1 species
UACGGAGGGGGCUAGCGUUGUUCGGAAUUACUGGGCGUAAAGGGCUCGUAGGCGGCCAACUAAGUCAGACGUGAAAUCCCUCGGCUUAACCGGGGAACUGCAUCUGAUACUGGAUGGCUUGAGUUCGGGAGAGGGAUGCGGAAUUCCAGGUGUAGCGGUGAAAUGCGUAGAUAUCUGGAGGAACACCGGUGGCGAAGGCGGCAUCCUGGACCGACACUGACGCUGAGGAGCGAAAAGCCAGGGGAGCAAACGGG